GAAAAUAACUAUGAUUCCCUUAGUAACGGCGAGUGAACAGGGAAAAGCCCAAAUUUGUAAUCUGGCACUUUUUACGAGUGUCCGAGUUGUAAUUUGUAGAACUGUUAUCCGUGCUGGACCAUGUACAAGUCUGUUGAAAAGCAGCAUCAUUGAAGGUGAAAAUCCUGUAGAUGAUAUGGACUACCAGUGCAUUUGUGAUACGGUUUCUAAGAGUCGAGUUGUUUGGGAAUGCAGCUCAAAGUGGGUGGUAAAUUCCAUCUAAGGCUAAAUAUAAGUGAGAGACCGAUAGCAAACAAGUACCGUGAGGGAAAGAUGAAAAGAACUUUGAAAAUAGAGUUAACAGUACGUGAAAUUGCUGAAAGGGAAACGUUUGAAGUUAGUAUUGUAUUCGUUGGAUCAGCUUCGCAAGGAGUGUAUUCUGAUGAUAAGCAAGUCAACAUCAGUCUUUGGGUGUUGGAUAAGGGUUUUGAGAAUGUAGCAAUUUAAUUGUGUUAUAACUUGAGACUUGGAUACAAUGCUUUGGAUUGAGGAACGCGUAGUAAGCUUUGAGCGGAUUCGAAAGGAUCUCCUUACUAUGGAUGUUGGUGAAAUAACUUUAAGCGACC
rnacentral:rRNA from 1 species